UACAGAGGGUGCAAGCGUUGUUCGGAUUUAUUGGGCGUAAAGAGCGUGUAGGCGGCUAAACAGGUCAGCUGUGAAAACUCGAGGCUCAACCUCGAGACGUCGGUUGAAACCGUUUGGCUAGAGUCCGGAAGAGGAGAGUGGAAUUCCCGGUGUAGCGGUGAAAUGCGCAGAUAUCGGGAAGAACACCCGUGGCGAAGGCGGCUCUCUGGGACGGUACUGACGCUGAGACGCGAAAGCGUGGGGAGCAAACAGG
rnacentral:rRNA from 1 species